rnacentral:rRNA from 1 species
UACGGGGGGGGCAAGCGUUGUUCGGAAUUACUGGGCGUAAAGGGCUCGUAGGUGGCCAAUUAAGUCAGACGUGAAAUCCCCAGGCUUAACCUGGGAACUGCGUCUGAUACUGGUUGGCUUGAAUUCGGGAGAGGGAUGCAGAAUUCCAGGUGUAGCGGUGAAAUGCGUAGAUAUCUGGAGGAAUACCGGUGGCGAAGGCGGCAUCCUGGACCGAGAUUGACACUGAGGAGCGAAAGCAUGGGGAGCGAACAGG